rnacentral:rRNA from 1 species
AGCAGUCGCCACGGGAAUACGUAGGGGGCGAGCGUUGUCCGAAUUUACUGGGCGUAAAGAGCAUUAAGGCGGGUCUUUAAGUGAGAGGUGAAAGGUUCAGGGCUUAACCCGAACACUGCCUUUCAUACUGGGGACCUUGAGUGCGGGAGAGGCGAGUGGAAUUUCUGGUGUAGCGGUGAAAUGCGUAGAUAUCAGAAGGAACACCCAUGGCGAAGGCAGCUCGCUGGCCUGCAACUGACGCUGUAGUGCGAAAGCGUGGGGAGCAAACAGGAUUAGAUACCCCUGUAGUCCCUGUCUCUUAUU